GUGGGGAAUAUUGGUCAAUGGGGGAAACCCUGAACCAGCAACGCCGCGUGAAGGAAGAAGGCUUUCGGGUUGUAAACUUCUUUUAUGUGGGACGAAAAAAAUGACGGUACCACAUGAAUAAGCCACGGCUAACUACGUGCCAGCAGCCGCGGUAAUACGUAGGUGGCAAGCGUUGUCCGGAUUUACUGGGUGUAAAGGGCGCGUAGGCGGAUGUGCAAGUCAGAUGUGAAAUACCAGGGCUCAACCCUGGGGCUGCAUUUGAAACUGUGCAUCUUGAGUGAUGGAGAGGCAAGCGGAAUUCCUAGUGUAGCGGUGAAAUGCGUAGAUAUUAGGAGGAACACCAGUGGCGAAGGCGGCUUGCUGGACAUUAACUGACGCUGAGGCGCGAAAGCGUGGGGAGCAAACAGGAUUAGAUACCCCUGUAGUCC
rnacentral:rRNA from 1 species